rnacentral:rRNA from 1 species
GUCCCUCCUUUACGCACCAGUAGGGAAUAUUGCUCAAUGGGGGACCCCCCGCCUCCUCCCCUCCUCUUUUCUUCUUCCUGUUUUCUGAUUGUAAACUCCUUUUGUUAGAGAAGAUUAUGACGGUAUCUAACGAAUAAGCACCGGCUAACUCCGUGCCAGCAGCCGCGGUAAUACGGAGGGUGCAAGCGUUACUCGGAAUCACUGGGCGUAAAGAGUGCGUAGGCGGGGUAAUAAGUCAGAUGUGAAAUCCUGUAGCUUAACUACAGAACUGCAUUUGAAACUGUUACUCUGGAGUGUGGGAGAGG